rnacentral:rRNA from 1 species
UACGUAGGGGGCUAGCGUUGUCCGGAAUCAUUGGGCGUAAAGCGCGUGUAGGCGGCCCGGUAAGUCCGCUGUGAAAGUCGGGGGCUCAACCCUCGGAUGCCGGUGGAUACUGUCGGGCUCGAGUACGGAAGAGGCGAGUGGAAUUCCUGGUGUAGCGGUGAAAUGCGCAGAUAUCAGGAGGAACACCAAUUGCGAAGGCAGCUCGCUGGGACGUUACUGACGCUGAGACGCGAAGCGUGGGGAGCA